GUGACUGCGUACCUUUUGUAUAAUGGGUCAGCGACUUAUAUUCUGUAGCAAGGUUAACCGAAUAGGGGAGCCGGAGGGAAACCGAGUCUUAAUUGGGCGUUAAGUUGCAGGGUAUAGACCCGAAACCCGGUGAUCUAGCCAUGGGCAGGUUGAAGGUUGGGUAACACUAACUGGAGGACCGAACCGACUAAUGUUGAAAAAUUAGCGGAUGACCUGUGGCUGGGGGUGAAAGGCCAAUCAAACCGGGAGAUAGCUGGUUCUCCCCGAAAGCUAUUUAGGUAGCGCCUCGUGAAUUCAUCUCCGGGGGUAGAGCACUGUUUCGGCUAGGGGGCCAUCCCGGCUUACCAACCCGAUGCAAACUGCGAAUACCGGAGAAUGUUAUCACGGGAGACACACGGCGGGUGCUAACGUCCGUCGUGAAGAGGGAAACAACCCAGACCGCCAGCUAAGGUCCCAAAGUCAUGGUUAAGUGGGAAACGAUGUGGGAAGGCCCAGACAGCCAGGAUGUUGGCUUAGAAGCAGCCAUCAUUUAAAGAAAGCGUAAUAGCUCACUGGUCGAGUCGGCCUGCGCGGAAGAUGUAACGGGGCUAAACCAUGCACCGAAGCUGCGGCAGCGAACGUAUCACCCAAGACAACUUUACGGAGUUGACGAUUGACGGAGCGAAGCGACGUCAAAGCGUUCAUUAAAGUCGAGUUGGCUUAGGGAUACGUUCGUUGGGUAGGGGAGCGUUCUGUAAGCCUGUGAAGGUGUGUCGUGAGGCAUGCUGGAGGUAUCAGAAGUGCGAAUGCUGACAUAAGUAACGAUAAAGCGGGUGAAAAGCCCGCUCGCCGGAAGACCAAGGGUUCCUGUCCAACGUUAAUCGGGGCAGGGUGAGUCGACCCCUAAGGCGAGGCCGAAAGGCGUAGUCGAUGGGAAACGGGUUAAUAUUCCCGUACUUGGUGUUACUGCGAAGGGGGGACGGAGAAGGCUAUGUUGGCCGGGCGACGGUUGUCCCGGUUUAAGCGUGUAGGUGUGUGUUCCAGGUAAAUCCGGUUCACUUUAACACUGAGGCGUGACGACGAGGCACUACGGUGCUGAAGCAACAAAUGCCCUGCUUCCAGGAAAAGCCUCUAAGCAUCAGGUAACAUCAAAUCGUACCCCAAACCGACACAGGUGGUCAGGUAGAGAAUACCAAGGCGCUUGAGAGAACUCGGGUGAAGGAACUAGGCAAAAUGGUGCCGUAACUUCGGGAGAAGGCACGCUGACACGUAGGUGAAGUGAUUUACUCAUGGAGCUGAAGUCAGUCGAAGAUACCAGCUGGCUGCAACUGUUUAUUAAAAACACAGCACUGUGCAAACACGAAAGUGGACGUAUACGGUGUGACGCCUGCCCGGUGCCGGAAGGUUAAUUGAUGGGGUCAGCGCAAGCGAAGCUCCUGAUCGAAGCCCCGGUAAACGGCGGCCGUAACUAUAACGGUCCUAAGGUAGCGAAAUUCCUUGUCGGGUAAGUUCCGACCUGCACGAAUGGCGUAAUGAUGGCCAGGCUGUCUCCACCCGAGACUCAGUGAAAUUGAACUCGCUGUGAAGAUGCAGUGUACCCGCGGCAAGACGGAAAGACCCCGUGAACCUUUACUAUAGCUUGACACUGAACAUUGAGCCUUGAUGUGUAGGAUAGGUGGGAGGCUUUGAAGUGUGGACGCCAGUCUGCAUGGAGCCGACCUUGAAAUACCACCCUUUAAUGUUUGAUGUUCUAACGUGGACCCGUAAUCCGGGUUGCGGACAGUGUCUGGUGGGUAGUUUGACUGGGGCGGUCUCCUCCUAAAGAGUAACGGAGGAGCACGAAGGUUGGCUAAUCCUGGUCGGACAUCAGGAGGUUAGUGCAAUGGCAUAAGCCAGCUUGACUGCGAGCGUGACGGCGCGAGCAGGUGCGAAAG
rnacentral:rRNA from 1 species